UCUCUUUUGUCCCUUUUUCUUCCUCACCUGCUAGAAUAUGGAGGAUGUCAUCUGGUAGCAUGAGAGACAGAGCCACAGUAGGGAUGGCCAAGGAGGAGCUAAAAGGAGUGUAGGUCCCUGAAGACACGGCAAAACAAAAGCCACUAUACCAACUCAGGACUCCAUCCCACCACGUUUCAUAUAGGAGAGAAGUAUACUUCUAUCUUUUUAAAGCCCCUAUUUGCUGGGUUUUAUUGUUACUUACAGCCAAAUUCAAUCUUAAGUAAUACACAGAGAUUAUAGCAUAGCUCUUGUAGCCUAAUUGCCUAUCUAGGCAGGUAAUAAUUUGAAUAACCUAUAGCAGAGAAGAAAUCCUGAAUAGUAAUGAGGAUCUGAAUUGUCCUGAGAGGAGAGACACAAUGACCCAAACCUUCCACAUAAUGACUCUCCACAUCGGUAAGCAGAUUUUGUGAAUGCCUGACUUGAAAGAUUUAGGAAAGACUGCUCCUAGGCCAGAAGAUGAAGUCUAUUUUGCAGAUGCAGCCAACAUGACUGAGAGGAGUUGUGCCAGGUAACUUGGAGACUAUUGGCCUAUCUCCAGAGAACCUAGGAUUUGCUAUACACCCUUGCUGCAUCAUGUUAAUUGAUGAGUUUCAUCCCUAAGAAGAAAUCCUACUGUGGGCAGGGUCCAGGAUUCACUACCUCAUGGACAUUUAUCCAAAUUCUAACUUGAGAAUCAGCCAACAAGAUAAAUGUCCAGGUAGGGGUACCUGGGUGGCUCAGUCAGUUGAGUG